AAUCAACGCUGGCGGCGUGCCUAACACAUGCAAGUCGAACGCGAAAGGGGCAACCUGAGUAGAGUGGCGUCCGGGUGAGUAACACGUGGAUAAUCUACCUAGAGGUGGGGAAUAACUUUCCGAAAGGGAAGCUAAUACCGCAUAAAGUUUAUUAGGGGCAUCCUUGAUAGACCAAAGGGGGGUUGAAAGAUCUCUCGCCGUUAGAGGAGUCCGCGGCUGAUUAGCUAGUUGGUGAGGUAAUGGCUCACCAAGGCGACGAUCAGUAGCCGGCCUGAGAGGGCGGUCGGCCACACUGGCACUGAAACACGGGCCAGACUCCUACGGGAGGCAGCAGUGGGGAAUUUUGGGCAAUGGCCGAAAGGCUGACCCAGCAACGCCGCGUGAAGGAUGAAAUCUUUCGGGAUGUAAACUUCGUAAGUCAGGGAAGAAUAAGACUAACCUAAUACGUUAGUUGAUGACGGUACCUGACGUAAGCCCCGGCUAACUCCGUG
rnacentral:rRNA from 1 species